rnacentral:rRNA from 1 species
UACAGAGGGUGCAAGCGGUAAUCGGAUUUACUGGGCGUAAAGCGCGCGUAGGUGGCCAAUUAAGUCAAAUGUUAAAUCCCCGAGCUUAACUUUGGAAUUGCAUUCGAUACUGGUUGGCUAGAGUAUGGGAGAGGAUGGUAGAAUUCCAGGUGUAGCGGUGAAAUGCGUAGAGAUCUGGAGGAAUACCGAUGGCGAAGGCAGCCAUCUGGCCUCAUACUGACACUGAGGUGCGAAAGCAUGGGGAGCAAACAGG